UUACGAGUAGGNCUACACACGUGCUACAAUGGCGCAUACAAAGAGAAGCGAACUCGCGAGAGCAAGCGGACCUCAUAAAGUGCGUCGUAGUCCGGAUUGGAGUCUGCAACUCGACUCCAUGAAGUCGGAAUCGCUAGUAAUCGUAGAUCAGAAUGCUACGGUGAAUACGUUCCCGGGCCUUGUACACACCGCCCGUCACACCAUGGGAGUGGGUUGCAAAAGAAGUAGGUAGCUUAACCUUCGGGAGGGCGCUUACCACUUUGUGAUUCAUGACUGGGGUGAAGUCGUAACAAGGUAACCGUAGGGGAACCUGCGGUUG
rnacentral:rRNA from 1 species